rnacentral:rRNA from 1 species
UACGUAGGAGGCAAGCGUUGUCCGGAAUUACUGGGUGUAAAGCGCGUGUAGGCGGCUUUGCAAGUCGGGUGUGAAAGCCCUCAGCUCAACUGAGGAAGUGCGCCCGAAACUGCAGAGCUUGAGUGCCGGAGAGGGUGGCGGAAUUCCCCAAGUAGAGGUGAAAUUCGUAGAUAUGGGGAGGAACACCGGUGGCGAAGGCGGCCACCUGGACGGUAACUGACGCUGAGACGCGAAAGCGUGGGGAGCAAACAGG